rnacentral:rRNA from 1 species
GGGUAAUGGCCUUACCUAACGGCGAGUGAAGCGGCAAAAGCUCAAAUUUGAAAUCUGGUUCCUUUGGUGCCCGAGUUGUAAUUUGGAGAGUACCACUUUGGGACUGUACUUUGCCUAUGUUCCUUGGAACAGGACGUCAUGGAGGGUGAGAAUCCCGUGUGGCGAGGGUGUCAGUUCUUUGUAAAGGGUGCUCGAAGAGUCGAGUUGUUUGGGAAUGCAGCUCUAAGUGGGUGGUAAAUUCCAUCUAAAGCUAAAUACAGGCGAGAGACCGAUAGCGAACAAGUACAGUGAUGGAAAGAUGAAAAGAACUUUGAAAAGAAAGUGAAAAAGUACGUGAAAUUGUUGAAAGGGAAGGGCAUUUGAUCCAACCUGGUGUUUUGCGCCCCUUGCCUCUCGGGGGCUUGGGACUCUCGCAGCUCACUGGGCCAGCAUCGGUUUUGGCGGACGGAAAAAACCUAAGGAAUGUGGCUCUGCGCCUCGGUGUAGAGUGUUAUACCCCUGGGGAAUACGGCCCGCCGGGACCGAGGACUGCCAUACUUGUUAUCUAUGAUGCUGGCAUAAUGGCUAUCUGCCGCCCGUCUUCAAACACGGACCAA